rnacentral:rRNA from 1 species
AUUGAACGCUGGCGGCAUGCCUAACACAUGCAAGUCGAACGGCAGCACAGCCCGCAAGGGUGGGUGGCGAGUGGCGGACGGGUGAGGAAUACAUGGGAAUCUACCCUGUCGUGGGGGAUAACGUAGGGAAACUUGCGCUAAUACCGCAUACGACCUCCGGGUGAAAGCGGCGGACCGCAAGGCGUCGCGCGACUGGAUGAGCCCACGUCGGAUUAGCUAGUUGGCGGGGUAAAGGCCCACCAAGGCGACGAUCCGUAGCUGGUCUGAGAGGAUGAUCAGCCACACUGGAACUGAGACACGGUCCAGACUCCUACGGGAGGCAGCAGUGGGGAAUAUUGGACAAUGGGCGCGAGCCUGAUCCAGCAAUGCCACGUGGGUGAAGAAGGCCUUCGGGUUGUAAAGCCCUUUUGUACGGGAAGAAAUCCUGUCGGUUAAUACCCGGCGGGGAUGACGGUACCGUAAGAAUAAGCACCGGCUAACUUCGUGCCAGCAGCAGCCGCAG